GUAUGUAUUUGUUUACGAGUAGAGGAAAGUUGAUGUCUUGCUCGACAUGUGGAGAGUACCUUUGUCGCUGCCAGUCGCAUGCGAUGCAAUCGACGCGUGUCAGUAUCGUUCCAGUUCGGGUAGAAUGGCUGCCUCACAAGCUAGUCAGCGAGGGCGGUUCGACUGAGUCAACUGUCGUUACUGAUCAGCGCGCUCCCUCUGGUUUUCCCCUGUACUAGUGGUUGGAAGAAACAUAGGCUGUGGUGCAUUGGCUUGUUAUAUGGCGGAAGACAAAGGAAAAGUUCCUGGCGUACGCGCCUCGCAGAGACAAAAUUUAAAGCUGCUACCAUUAAUGAUUCACGUCCCGAGUUUGGCACAAGGGGGAGAAAGAGAGAGAAUGAAGAAAACUAACAGAAAUGUUUACUUUCAUACUUCUGCAUGCCAGUACUGUACUUAAAACACCAUAAUUGUAUGGGUACAUCAUUAAAAAUAGUUACAGAAAUGUAAAUGCUAUCAGUCUGUCAACUUUAAUUCUGUCAAAUCCAAAAAAAAGAUAGAUUCUGAAGCAGGAUUUGGAAAAUGCCUGAUACGUCCAAGAAGACUUAAAUCAGUGAAUUCCACUAACCAAGCUCCUUUAACAACCCAGUACUACACUGACAUAAAACCUUGGAAACUAUUACUGAGUAUUCUGAAGGCUUGACUGUGUCUUCAUUACAUUGGCAGUAAGUUUAAAUUACCUGUAAACUAUUUUAUGAUAAAAGAAGCAGACAGACUAAACCAGUCUGUAAUCCUUUCUUCAACCAUUACUUCAACCCUAGGGCAAUUGAUGGUGUUGUGGGAGAGUAUAGUAACAUAGCCACUGAACGAGGCCUUGACUUAUAACCCAAGAAGGCUUAAUCAACAUAUUUCAUUUCCAAUCCAUCAGUUCUGAUUUACAACCAGCUGGCAGGUUGAAGCUCAAGGGUAAGGAAGUGCAUUA